rnacentral:rRNA from 1 species
GGGGAAAGCCCAGCGCUGAAUCCUUUAGUCUUUGACUAAUAGGAAAUGUAGCGUAUAGGUGUAGGUGUUCGUGCGUUUUGCUCACCCAAAGUUCCCCUUGAGCGGGGCUACAGUCCGUAGAAGGUGCUAGACCUGUACGGGUGGCGAGAUGUUCGAUAGCUUGCUCCUUGGAGUCGGGUUGCCUGAGAUCGCAGCCCAAAGAGGGUGGUAAACCUCAUCUAAGGCUAAAUAUGACCACGAGACCGAUAGCAAACAAGUACCGUGAGGGAAAGUUGCAAAGAACUUUGAAGAGAGAGUUCAAGAGGGCGUGAAACCACUAAGAUGGAAACGGAUAGAGUUGACGAAACUCGGCGGCAUUCAACUGGUCAGCUUAGCGGCUUUGCGGCUUUGUGCCUCGAUGAGGACAGGGACGUGAGUUGCUGUUGGGCAUCGGCUGGUGUAUUUGCCGUCGGUAUGCGCUGAGAGCCUCGGCUUCGUGCGUUGACGCAUGUGUAGUGGACCACUCCUUCCGGGCGUGGAACCCUGCGCGUGUUGAGACACAUCGGGGCUGGGGUUUGCUUCCAGUCUCCGCUAACGCGCAACGGUUGCUACGUGUUUGGCGUUGCUGUUGGACGGUCGCAUGCGACUUGUCUACAGUUGGCGUCGAUCCGCGGUGAUGCAGUUGCGUUGAGACGUUCAUCUCGGUGUGAAAGUUGACCACCUAUCCGACCCGUCUUGAAACACGGACCAAGGAGUCUAGCAUAUGCGCGAGUCAUUGGGUGGUAAACCUAAAGGCGUAAUGAAAGUAAAGGUCGCCUUGAUGCGGCUGAUAUGGGAUCCGCGCGGUUUCGACUGUGCGGCGCACCAUAGCCCCGUCCCCGUUGCUUGCAAUAGGGCGGAGGUAGAGCGCAUACGCUGGGACCCGAAAAGAUGGUGAACUAUGCCUGAGCAGGAUGAAGCCAGAGGAAACUCUUGGUGGAGGUCCGAAGCGGUUCUGACGUGCAAAUCGAUCGU